AAUUUAUCGCCCUUUGAAUCGACACGCCAUUUGUACUGUAAACAUCGAAGGUCGUGGAGAAAAUGAAACUACCCCAAAAAUCGAUAUUUGAUGAUUUAUUUCAAUGGUAUAAAGAAUGACAGCUAGCGAAUUUACAGAUCAAUUUUUACCACAGAGGUUUUUUUGGCCUGAUGCAAUGACAUUAAACAGAUAAAGGAUUUUCCAGGAAGGUCUAUACACCACAUGCUGGAUUUUUUGGGGUGAUGAAAGAAAUUCAAGAAAAGUACUCUAUGAAUCUGUGAAUGGGAAUGAAACAAAGGAAUUAAUAAUUAUUAUGUUAUUCUGAUCAUCCAGCUGAAAUCAUGCCUAUGGAAUAGAGUGCAUGUCACAAAUACUGAUAUGAGCAAUGAGCAGAUAACUUCAUGUUGCACAAAUAAGGUCAUAUUUCCUGCCCUUAUGACCUGAAAGAGUUAAACAGAUCUGAUUCAAACUACAAAUGUGUUUCAAAAAAGUAAAACUUAGUCAGCUGUGAGAAAUAUUUGGUAAAAGUGUGUUUUGUUGCCAUGACAGCUGUGAAGUGGUUCGAGAAGCACAAUCUUAAUUGUCCUAACUGUACAGAAUUCAACUUUAUACACUUUCCAAAACUGCAUGCAUGGAAUACUAAGACAUGUCUGUUAUAUGAAUUCUAGUUUAUGUGGGGCAUUAACACAUAACCUUUGGAGGAAACAUCUUUUACAAUCAAAAUUGCCUUGCCAGUGUAGGAAGGAUUUUUCCAGAAAUGGCCAUGACAGAAAACUAUUAAUAUUGCAGAAAAUAUUUGUUACUGGCUAAAUGUAAUGUAUUUUAUUUCAAGAAUUAUUCAUGUAAAUCCAUGUUUUUAAUUGUAUAAAAAGAUUUUUCACAUGAACUUCUCAGAAAUAGCUAAUUUUGUUGCAGACUAUUGUAAGUUGCCAUGGUAACACAAAUUUGACUUGAAUUUAGAUUUGUUUGAUUAUGUAGACAGCAUGUUCCUUGUUUAUAUUCUGCUAAUAAGACUAUACUCUGCAAGAAAAUAUCUUUUAUGUGUAAUCAUUGCAUCAACACAACAUGUUACAACACAAAUUUGCCUUAAAAUGGCAGAGCUGUAAUGCAGGAAGGCAUAUCAGGAAAAUGUGUAAUUCUCAAAGUCAAAUUACAUUACAUGAACUGAUGUUUGUUUUUUAUACCUGAUCAUAAUUGACCAUUUUCGGUGUAAAACAAAUAAAUACUGAACAGAUGCUAAAUGAAUGUUCUGAAUCUUUCUGGAAAAUUUACAAAAAUACUACUAUUUUAAGAAAAUAGUGCAUUGUUGCCAUGGUAACGUUAAUUUGACUUUAAAAUUAUCUUGGUUAUGUAAACAACAUCUUUCUUGUUUAUAUGUUAUAUUUGUUAAGCUGUAUUAUGUUAGUAUAUAUAUUUUCAUAUGUAAUAAUCUCAUCAGCAAACCACUUUGUUACCACACAAAUCUGCCUUAAAAUGGCAGAGUUGUAACUGAGAGAGGUGUAUUUGAAAAUAAGAAUUCUCAAAGAAUAUCACAUUAAUAUGCAUGGAAUGAUGUCUCGUACUUUUAAAUAAGAAAGCAAACAGCUUUUGAUGUAAAUAUAUGGAAAAACACUUCAAAUAUUCAAAUUAUUAUACAAAAAUUGACAAAAAUAUUACUUUUUGUAAGAAAAUACCACAUUGUUGCCAUGGUAAUGAUUCACUGAUCAGUAUAACUAAGUCUGCUGAAAUUUUAGCAAACUUACAGUUGAUAAUAACAGUCUAAUAGUUACAUCUUCUUGCCUGAUUUUCUUUCUUACUGUUUAAUAGAUAAUAUGACUUUAACAAUAAGAUUGAUGUGCGACUUUGGUUGUUGGGAUGUUGUCGAACUUGAUAUCAAAUAAAGUUUGUAUUUUGUUCAAAAGAAUACCAUAAAACUUUGGACAAAUAAACAAGUUGUCUGUGAACUAUGUUUGCACACUAGAAAAAGUUAAUUGUGCAUUUAUUUCACAUUCUACGUGUAAUUUAUUGCUAGAUUCAUCAAGGGACUAUUAAAAAAGAGGUUAAACAACAGUGUUGCUAUGGAAACAAUUUUUAGAACAAAAAAAAAUUGAUACUACAUAAAAGAAAAAAACGACAAAAAGAAAUAUAUUUCAUUAAUCACAUGUUGCCUUUGUUAUUUUAUCAUGUAUUUUAUCUUGAUAUUAUUUAAAGAUGGAGUAAUUAUUAAGAUAUACUGCCUCAAUUCUGAUACAGUUAGACAAAAACAUGGUGUCCGAAAAGCGGUAAUUUCUCCAUGACAACGGCUGAUUUUUGUUGUCAAAUUGCAGAUUUAUACUCAGCACAUGUCAAUCUGUCAGAUUAGUCCAAAACCCCAUUUUUGACCAAAAUCGCAUUUGGACCCAAAAUCUCAUGCUCUGUCACAUAUUCAUAAGUGAUAAGUUGAUUAUUUAACAUGGGUUUAUCCUCGAGAGAACAUGAGUCGUUGAUAUUAGAAACUACAACAAAUACUACAAACUGCUACAUCAAAACGGAUAAAAAACUUUAGACAUUUUAAUGUGAUUUUUAGGGCCAAUGUACAAAAAUAUUCAACAACUGAUACUUUGCCGCUAAGCGCUAUUGGAGUAAAAGACGAUGUUUUCUUCCUUUUUAAAAUAGUUUGUAAAGAAGUCUUUGUAUAAUGUUUCUGCGCUCUACUGUCAUUAAGUAUUAACUGGAUCCAUAACUCAGAUUCAAAGUGUUCAUACUUCCUUGCUUUUUGUUGCCUGCCACCAAUUUCGUCUUCAUAGUAUCCUUCUAAGUCACCUUUGUUCGAAUCGCAUCUUUCUGAACUCAAGUUUUCGCCCAUAUCUUAAAACCUGUAAUCCAAAUAACAUUUGAUGUUAUAUUAAGCUUGAAAUUUAUGUAAAACAAAAACAGAAGAAACAGCUUUCCAAAUAGAUGGUAUGCAUACUUACAUGGUUAGAAAAGUGUUACUCUCAGUAGUGCGCAUGAAGUAUCAUAGUCAAAAUGAAUAGAUUCAUUAAGCUUUCUACCAUAUACCUUUGACAAAUAUAAGGGAAGCAAUUAUCUGAGAUAGGCUUUAACAAGAAAAUACUAUAUUUUAUGUUCUUGUCGGAACAUAUAGCAGCCACAAUUUAAACUAAGGCAUUAUGAGCAUUUAAAAGAAAUAAAUUAUCUGAAUUGUCAGAAAAAAACAAUUUGAUAAUAUAAAUGAAACUAAAACUGAAUUUAAAGAUGAUCAUAUGAUGUUGACCAAAAAGGCGGUCAACCUACCUUGAUAUUUGAUUACGAAAAUAACAUCACGGAUUGUUGAUUUAAAUCUCAUUUAGAAAAACAAAAGUAACUUUCAAAACAUAUUAUCAAUCGUUGUAUUAUUUGAUCUCUUGACCUAAUUUAGAUAACCAGAUGAAUAAAUUUGUAUGUGGACUUAAAUUUCAUAAAGCUAAACAGCCACUUACGAAGAUCUUGUCAAAAUGUGAUUUGUAGAGUGCAAUUGCUAUUAUUCUAAGACCUGUACUGACUAAAUCAGUGUUUAUGUUAAAAUCAUAUGUGAAUGUAAAGAAUUCCAUAGAAAUUUAAAAAGUAGAAUAAAUUUGA